UGAGCCGAGGCUCAGCGCGAGCGAGGGACGACGGAAGGGACCGGUAGGUGUGGGCGCGGGGCCGCUCAGCCCGACGGCGGGAAUAGCAGGCACUCGGUGCAUGGGCCAGUGAAGACGCGCAGAGAUCCCUUUGCAGCGGCGGAGGCGGAGCAGCGCGGGAGCUAGGCGCUGCCCAGCGACCCUGCGUCCAAGCGAGCGAAACCUCGCGCUUCGCCCGGGGACGGUCCGAAAUCCGCGCUAUGGAAGAGGAGAAAUAUUUGCCUGAGCUGAUGGCAGAGAAAGAUAGCCUGGAUCCAUCUUUUGUGCAUGCAUCGCGCCUUUUGGCUGAAGAAAUUGAAAAAUUUCAAGGUUCUGAUGGAAAAAAGGAAGAUGAAGAAAAGAAAUAUCUUGAUGUCAUCAGCAACAAAAAUAUAAAGCUCUCAGAAAGAGUAUUGAUUCCUGUCAAGCAAUAUCCAAAGUUCAAUUUUGUGGGGAAAUUGCUUGGACCAAGAGGAAACUCCUUGAAGAGGCUACAGGAAGAAACAGGUGCUAAAAUGUCUAUCCUGGGCAAAGGAUCGAUGAGAGAUAAAGCAAAGGAAGAAGAAUUAAGGAAGAGUGGGGAAGCCAAAUAUGCCCACUUGAGUGAUGAACUUCAUGUAUUAAUUGAAGUGUUUGCUCCUCCUGGGGAAGCUUAUUCACGUAUGAGUCAUGCAUUGGAAGAGAUUAAAAAAUUCCUGGUUCCCGACUACAAUGAUGAAAUUCGUCAGGAACAGUUACGUGAAUUAUCUUAUUUAAAUGGCUCAGAAGACUCUGGUCGUGGCAGAGGUAUUAGAGGCAGAGGGAUUCGAAUAGCUCCCACAGCUCCUUCAAGGGGCCGUGGGGGUGCCAUUCCUCCUCCCCCACCACCUGGACGAGGUGUUCUCACACCUCGUGGGACCACUGUGACUCGUGGAGCUCUUCCCGUGCCACCGGUAGCAAGAGGCGUCCCCACCCCUAGAGCCAGGGGGGCACCAACAGUGCCAGGAUACAGAGCACCCCCUCCUCCAGCCCAUGAAGCUUAUGAAGAAUAUGGGUAUGAUGAUGGCUAUGGGGGUGAAUACGAUGACCAGACCUAUGAGGCUUAUGAUAACAGCUAUGCCACUCAAACGCAAAGUGUGCCUGAAUACUAUGACUACGGUCAUGGAGUAAGUGAGGAUGCCUAUGACAGCUACGCACCAGAAGAAUGGGCCACAACCCGCUCCAGCUUAAAGGCACCACCGCCAAGGUCAGCCAGAGGGGGAUACAGGGAACACCCCUAUGGUAGAUAUUGAAGGUCCUCCUCACCUGUGACCUCACCUCAAAAGACAAUUCAUAGCCUGUGGUCUCCACAUAAACAGCAACAAGACAAGUACCCACAAGCAAGGAACACAUAAUUGAAUAGCAGAUGUGAUGGGCUAACAAGGAUGUGGAGACAGGUACAGAAAACUUCAUUAGGAGCCUAAACAGAAAUGCUUAAGUGGAUGAAGCAGCUUUUUGCAUCAGAUGGAAGCUAAGCGGGAUAUUAAAUUAAUGUCAAACAACACAAAUAACAAGAAGAUUUGGAUUUGAACCAAUGUGAUACUGAUGUACACUAUGGAUAACAACCAGUGGAUUAAAAUACAUAUGGAAUAUAUUAAUAUUACAGAUUGAAAAAGAAGUUAAUUUGGGCUGAGAUUUUAAAAAGAUGGUGUCAUAGAAGAGAUGAGAUUUCAAUGGAAGGUCUGAAAUAGACAGAAGGAAGAAGCAGAGUUCCCAAUCCUAACCACAGGCAGGAGCAAGGCUUCCGAAGCUCUCCCAAGUUCUAUCUGCUGACCCCUGCUUUUCUGUACUAUGUGAUUGCCUCAUCCCAGAGAAGCCUGAUCAUCAUUAGGAAAAAACAUACUGAAAACAAAUAUGAUUCAUGAUUCUUCAUAAGCAGCAACUGAACAAGAACAAAACCAAAAUAGUUUAAUUCAUUUGGGCAACAAAAAAAAAGCUGAAAAUAAAAUGAAUUCAGGUAUUGAUGAUAUUUCAAGAGUGGACUGUCAUGUCCCUGCUGUACUCAACACCAGUACAAUAGGUAUUUUAAUCACAGUGGUAGUUGGACAUAGUGCUAUAAGCUCAUGAGAUCCAAAUACAAGUAUUCCUUCUUUCCAAGUCUCCAGUUACUUCAGUUUGGUAGCUUGAAGUGGAUCCUGGUGAAUCUCUACCAUGGAAAUUGGCAAACACUACAAAUCAGGAUUUUAUUUUCUUCUGUAGAGUGCCAGUGAGCUGGUUGACCAGCACACCACUGAGUGACUUGCACAUUUAGAAGAGAUCCAACAUAAAUAUGUCUUUAUAAUUAGGAAUGUUGCUCACUAAGUAAAUAUUUAAAGAAGACACUGCUUAAGAGAGUAUUUUGUUAGACUUUCUAGUGUGAACCUCUUAUUAACUGUCAGGUAACAGCUAACAAAAGCUUUGUCUUAGUCUCCCCAUCCUUAAAAUGAGAACAUAAUAGUACCUGUUUUAUAGGAUUGUUUUGACAAUAGAAUGAGUUAAGUAUGUACUUUAAAAAGUGCCUGCCUCAAUCAGGAUAUUCUAUUAAUAUCAUCAGAAGAUGAGACUAUGUGGCUUUUUAGUCUUCUAAAAGACUGCUUAAUUUCAGUGUUAUUUUCCUUCUUUAGCUUUUAUAUCUUUUAGAAACUAAUACCAAAAUUCCACAAGUUUUGUAAGUUUCCGUUAAAUAAAAGCACAUCAAAUCACUUUGAAAUGCAUAAAGCACUAUGUAAAUGAAAGGUACAAUAAUUAUGUUAAAGGCGUCAUCUUGGAUUUUGUUUAUACUGCAUCUUUCAAAUGAGCAUCAGAUUUUUCUCUAGGCAGUUACCGCUCCUACAGAAACAAACACAGAUGGUGCCCAAACUUCCUACUGAAUAGUUUUAGGCAAUAGCAUUUAUCAAAAUACCACAGGUCACUAAGUGUACAAAGACUCAAAGCAAAUCCCACAUCUCAGUGUCAGUCCAGCAUAGUAAUUUAGGCAAAUAAGCCUUUGUUUGAUAAUUCGAGAAUUUUCUGAUGUGUAAAAUACACUAGCACAACAAACAGAGAAUCUGAGGUGGAAGCUGUCUCCCAAAAUAGAAUAUUAACAUGCAAUUUCUUUUAGAGAAAAAUAGAUUCAGUUUUUCUUCUCUGAUGUACAUUUCUAGCUGAAGUAAAACCCAAUUGUUAGAUUGUGCAUGCAGGUAUCCCCAUUUGCCAUUGGGGAGAUAUGUCUUAAAGAUAUUUUUCUUAUAUUCAAACCUCAGAACCCAGUCUUUGGGGUAGAAUCAUCCAUUCUUGAGCGAGAUAAUUCUGUGAUUUCUCUAACUCUGCUCUCUUAAUUGUCUUUUGCACUGUUUUAAACCUGUUAGCCCUUGAAUUAGUUACUUGCUGUUCUUCUGACUCAGUGACCAGUAGGGGAUCUGACCCCUGACCUAGAGAGCUCUCAGCUGGUGCUGCAGACUUCUCCCAGUCUUUGGCAGAGGGAUACUGGCAGACACUAGAGAUUGAUUUUUUUUUAUUGGUUGUUCAAAACAUUACAAAGCUCUUGACAUAUCAUAUUUCAUACAUUAGAUUCAAGUUGGUUAUGUAACCGAUGUGAUUCUGCAAUCUGUAUUUGGGGUAAAAUUGGGACACUAGAGAUUAAGAAGGAAGAAGCCUGGGCAUUUCUCCUGACAACCAUUUUGUCUCCUUCUCUUUCUGGGGCAGCAGUCACUUUUCUUCUCUACUCCAUCCCCAGCUUGCCCACCAGGUAUUAAGGCUCCUGGAUUGCUGUAGUGUAUCUCUUCUAUGUUUCUUUAAUCCAGUGUUGGCAUACUCCUGUUACCAAUUUCUGAAUUGUUUUAUUUUUUUUUAAUCUGGUUUUCAUCUUCUCUUCAAUUACCUUUUUUUCCUGUUUUUGCCAUUUUCCUGUCAUUCGAAUAUUCCAAGUGAAUCCUGUUUUCCUAAUUGGGCCCUGCGAUCCAGCCGACACAAGCCACCUGCUCAUACUGAAUUCUUGGACAAAUAACGCUGUGAGAAAGGCAGUUCUGUUACUCAUCAUAAUGAUCUGAGAGACCCUUCUGGAACAUGAGCUCUUACAAUCACUGCUCUCUUUGCAGCUCUUCUCCUUUAGUUAAAUGAUGACUCUACCUUGAGCCCGCUCUGUGCCAUGUCCCUGAGAUGGAGACAGAAAGUAUUUUUCUUUGUUUCUGCUAACAUUAGUGUCAGAAGACACUCAAGCAUUACGCUUGAUUAUUAACCUAGCCUGUCUCUCCUCUUCACGGUGCAUUCCUCAAAUGCACUGCAGGGAGCUGGCUUACAGGUGGUUGGGCUGUUAAAUGUUAGUGCCUUACAGGUAAGUCACAAAGGAUGGCAAGGUCUCCAGAUCUAGUUCCACAUUCAUGAAUAAUAGGAUUGGAAUAUGAUAUGUUAGUUACCAUUCCAGAAUUCUAUUCCUUAUGAGUUAUUCUCUAGGAAAGAAAAUACAAAACAGCUCCAUAUCUUCAAAGUUCAAAUUAGUUUUAUAAACCUAUUCUUAAUCCAGAAGUGUCAAACUAGAGUUGUCUCACGCCCUUGCUAAACCUAUUUUGGAUUUUAACGUUGAAACAUACAUUAAUGCUGAGUUUCUAAAAAUAAUGUUUUGUGAGGUCUUCCAUAUUUUUUUUUUUCCAUUCACGCUAUUCUGUUGCAAUGCUCCUCUUCCUGGAAUGAUCUUUUUCAUUUUCUUUGGUUGUAUUAUUAAUUCUUGGCCAAAACCCAUCUUUCCAGAAGUGCUCCCUGAAUUUUCCCACUCCUGGUUUGGAAUGGGUUGCUUAGCGUCCCCUUUUUUGUGUCUCCAUCAUGUGUUAUGUGAAAUAACAUGUUUACCUCUCUGUUUUCUGUUGGACUUGAUGCUGCAUAAUGAAAGGAUGUUUUAAUCAGCUUUUGCCUCAUUGUGACUAAAAAUCCCCUGACCAGAACAAUCAUAGAGGAGGAAAAGUUUAUUUGAGGGCUCAUGGUUUCAGAGAUCUUAGUCCAUAGAAUGCUGGCUCCAUUUCCUUGGGGAUCAAGGUGAAGCUGAACAUCAUGGAAGAAGAUUGUGGCAGAGGGAAACAGCUUCCAUGGUGAUCAGGAAGCAGAAAGAGGGAGACUCCACUCUUGAGAUACAAAAUAUAUGCCCUAUAGCCACGCCCCUAUCCCCACCUUCUUCAGCCACACCCUACCACUAAUUAAUCCCUAUCAGGGGACUAAGCCUCUUCCAACUCAAUCAUUUCUCCUCUGAACUUUCUUGCAUUGUCUUAUAGUGAGCUUUUGGGGGACACUUCACAUCCAAACCAUAACAAAGGACUGUGUUUCAUCUUUGUACUUCUAGUGCCCAUUUUAAAAACUGUUUCUGAACAAUACUCUGAAAAUUCUGGGGCCUCCUAUGCUGGGAAAAAAUUAGGUUUAAAACCUAAAAACAUUAGGUUUUUGAAAAGGAAAGUUUUUUAUUUUUUAAUUUUUUUUUAGUAUCAGGACCAUUUUACUAACAAAAUGCAAUCUAGUGUUUGUAUCUUGCUUUUAAAAGUACAUAGAGCAUUGUUGAACAACAUGGAUGCAUAAGGGAAACAGGCACAAAAGAGGAACAGUAGCACUUUAGCAAGUUUAGGAUAAAACCCAAAUCUUUACCUUGCUUUUUGUUCUUUUUCACCAGAAGUUGCGUCCUUUUCCUGAGUUUGUCUUCCUCAAUUUAAGCCUUUAUUUUUCGUGUCCAUCUGAAUAUAUUCUCACUGCCUCCACCAUCAAUUAAGUAAAUGUCAUGUCUCUAACUCAUUUCCUUUAAAAAGGAUGAGCUCAGCCGUGCUCUGUUUAUCCCAUUUAUAAUGGCUCUCUCUGCACACUUGGUCCAUUGCCUCCGGUGUCGUUUCUCAUGCAUCUGUUUAUUCUGCCCAAUUAGACGCAGAGCUCUGUGGUCAGAGGUACUUUUUCUUUUAUAUCUCCUCACAGCAUGUUCACAGCAUAGGCUUGUGAGCUAAUGUCUUCUACUACGUUUCACCAAUAUCUAUGCUGGUAUUUUUAGCUUCUUGUUAAGUGAGCACACUUGUGGGCUCACCCUGCAACUGGGUCCACAGGCACUAGAUCAUCUACACAGGACACAGUCCUGGCUGGUUUCUUUAUUCUAGACCAGAGACACUGCAGGCCAGGCUGGGUAGCAUAGGAACACAGGAACGUCAAGACCCCAUCCCACUUUUUUUUUUUUAAAGCAAGGAAUAUUCCUAAGCUACCUCUCCCUGGGAACCACCAUUUUCCUUCUAACAGUUUUCAUCAUUGAUCAUUGGUUUUCUGUCAGAGAAUCUGUUCAUUUUCUUCAUAGCACUUACAAUUACAUACUUAUUAAAGUGUGUAUAGAAUAAGCACAUAAAGUAAAUAGAUAAUUUUUAUAUAAAUAUGCAAAAUACUUAGUAGAUGUAAACUAAGUAACAUAUGAAAGACACCGAUAUGUAUGAGUGUAUGUAUGUGUAUACUUUAUGUUUUGAUUUUCUCUUUCCCUCUACAGAUUUUCUUUACUUAAACUCCCUUCACCUCUAAACACCAAGCCUAACAGGGAUCCUGGCAUAUAAUAGGUACUCAUAAAUAUUUAUUGAAUAAAGAAUAGGUGAAUGAGUGAAUCAAUGAAAGCAAAGAUUUCUUAAUAGUCAUUAAGUAUAUCACAUCUUAAAUUUCCCUCAACAAAAAUCAUGGAAAGAGAAAAGAGAAGUAGGAGCACAGAAGUAAAAGGAGUCCAUUUUCUUUUUCUUUUUUUUUUAAG